rnacentral:rRNA from 1 species
UACGAAGGGGGGCUAGCGUUGCUCGGAAUCACUGGGCGUAAAGCGCACGUAGGCGGAUUGCUAAGUCAGGGGUGAAAUCCUGGAGCUCAACUCCAGAACUGCCCUUGAUACUGGCGGUCUCGAGUCCGGGAGAGGUGAGUGGAAUUCCGAGUGUAGAGGUGAAAUUCGUAGAUAUUCGGAAGAACACCAGUGGCGAAGGCGGCUCACUGGACCGGUAUUGACGCUGAGGUGCGAAAGCGUGGGGAGCAAACAGA